UGAAAGGAGAGGGGGUCUUUCCCAGGAUCUGCAUGGAUCUGCCAAGAAACAUCAAAGGAAAUAAAAAAUAUGAGAAGCUCCUCAAGGAGGCAAAAGAAAAAUUGGAAAAAGACAAUCGGAGAGAGGAAGCAGUCCUUCUGGGGGAGGCCACGGCUGUGGAGCCGCACACAGAUGACUCAGACUCCAUGUUUAACACAUGGCUGCUGAUGGAAAUGGAGCGGGCGCUCAUAGAGGAACAUGCCCUGAAGGUGCAGAAAGCUUUUACCUCCUGUCCCACAGAGGAUCCUGCCUUUGGCCAACGUGCUCGUCAGAGGCUCG
rnacentral:lncRNA from 1 species